CUAACAAGCUGGAGAGCCGGUUCUCUAGGCCUGUCAGCAGUGGACUAGCCUGAGCGCCGAAAUGGCUCACUGUGUCCUAGGAACACACGAGGAAGGUGAAAGCCUGAUGGAAAGGACUGAGAGGGAGACUCACACAGGUGCAGGUGGCUUAUUUGGGAAGUGACCCUGUGUCUGCCUCAUUUGCUCAGGAAACCCUGGUGACUACGCUGUGAGGUGGUGAUGCCUUUUGCAGGUAAGGAAACUGAGGUGCAGAUGACUGGUCAAGGACCCCACAGCUGGAAUGUGAGAUGCA
rnacentral:lncRNA from 1 species